CUAAAUAGAAUAAGACUAAAUUGUUCUUUAAAAAAAUGAACUCAUUUAGAUAAGAAUAAUGAAUUCGAUAAUAGAAAAAAAUAGAUUCAAAUAGAAUAUAUAGAGAAAUAGGAUAUAAGCGGGUAGCGGGAAUCGAACCCGCAUCGUUAGCUUGGAAGGCUAAGGGUUAUAGUCGACGUUCAUGAAUGAACGUCUCUAAUUCAAAACUGAACGUGAAACUUUUGUUUCAUUCAGCUCCUUUACAGAAUAAUUUAAGAGAUAGAUGGAAUACAUGAAAAAAAAAA
rnacentral:lncRNA from 1 species